CCUGUGUGUGCGCUGGGGGUCAUGUCUGGAGGCAAAAAGAGCAGAAGCUGGGGGCGGGCUCAGAGAGCAGACUGAUACGAAAAGGGCAAACGCGGUACACUGUGGCGGCGGACAGUGGGGCGGCAGGUCCCCACCAGACGGAAUUCCACCGCCUCUCACCUCUCUCCAGUCUUGAGAAAGCUUCCCGCGGCCUCGAACCCCUCCUCCACCGCCCCCCUCACCCGGAACUGGCAUUUCAAAAAGCACUGUGCAGUCAACCGGCGCCGGGAGCUGGAAGCACACACUUCAAGAAUGCCGGCUGCCAGGAGUGCGUUGGGCACAGAAGGCUGCUGCUCGGCCCAGGAAGACCCUCACUGGACGGCAGUUGUGACACUGCCCAGGAGGCCACAUUUGGCUCUCAACGUGGCGGAUGGUGCCUUCUGUCCUUGGUUCUACAAGAGUGACUUUUCCUGACAGUCUUCUGGCCUCCCACCUGGCUGGCUUCUGUUGGGACGGUGGUUCUAGGUAGUAGAGCCUGCAGCCCUUGCCUCUUUGCUCUGGAUUUCCCAGGGCACUAAAGCCCAGGUCCAGGGCAUUAAAGCCCAGGGCCCAGGGAGGCACCCUUUCCUUCCCAGGCCAGGUGUAGGGCUUGUUCUCUAAGUGCAGACCCAGUAGUUCCAAGGCUCCUACUGAUCCUGGGCCACAGUAACUCCUGCAGAGUGCCUCUGUCCCCUGCCAGCUGCUGUGGGGUAGAGACGCCCAGCCCCAGCAGGAAGGCCUUUCUGCUUGGUUUGAUCAACAGUAAAGCAAUUGGUGCUCGCUUUGUUUUGACUCUCAUGUUUAACAGCAGAGCCUGUGACAUCACAGAAAAGCAGCCUUGGGCUUGAGUGAGGUGGGAUCCAUCCCUGGUAACAUGGCUCUUCCAGAGUUGUCUGGAUAUGGGAAAUGGGAUGGCCCAUUGUUCUGAUGAUACUGCUUUCCCCCACCCUGGAUCCCUGGGGUUCAGAUGGGGCCAGCUCUAUCCACUAGCUUUAGAAGCAGACAUCUGAUCCAGGCCUGCACACAGGCUCCGGGAACUCCCCCAGGGACUUCUGCAGCAACCGUGGGGAAAGAGCUUUCUCUUGCUGUGGGAGUUGCUAAGUCCACAGGGUAUAAGCUUGGUGCUGCUGAUGGCCAAUCUGUUACCCACUUGAGGGUGAAGCCAACAAAGAGGAACGAGAACUAAGAUGGACAGAGUGUGCCGUCCAGACUUGUCCCUUGCUGCCCAGGAAGUUCCUGAAUCCAGCCGUGCCGGAAGCCAACUCUGCCCCGGGACUGUCCUGAUUAUGUGAGCCAGUGCUUUUUAGUUUUGUCUAGCCGAGCGUGGUGACGCACGCCUGUAAUCCCAGCACUUGGGAGGCUGAGGCAGGAGGAUCGUAACGAGUUUGAGGCCA